rfam:Glossina brevipalpis unplaced genomic scaffold Scaffold287, whole genome shotgun sequence.
GCAAAAGCCUUUUUUAAGGCUAUAAAAUUAUUUUAAAGAGAUUUA